rnacentral:rRNA from 1 species
UACGUAGGGUCCAAGCGUUAUCCGGAAUCACUGGGCGUAAAGCGUGCGUAGGCGGCGUGUUAAGUGUGAUGUUAAAUCGUGGGGCUCAACCCUAUCGAUGCAUCGCAUACUGGCAUGCUAGAGGAAGGCAGAGGCAAGUGGAAUUUGUAGUGUAGCAGUGAAAUGCGUAGAUAUUACAAGGAACACCAAUGGCGAAGGCAGCUUGCUGGGCCUUUUCUGACGCUGAGGUACGAAAGCGUGGGGAGCGAACAGG